UAGGGAAUCUUCCACAAUGGGCGAAAGCCUGAUGGAGCAACGCCGCGUGUGUGAUGAAGGGUUUCGGCUCGUAAAACACUGUUGUAAGAGAAGAAUGACAUUGAGAGUAACUGUUCAAUGUGUGACGGUAUCUUACCAGAAAGGAACGGCUAGAUACGUGCCACCAG
rnacentral:rRNA from 1 species